rnacentral:rRNA from 1 species
AUCUAGCCAUGGGCAGGUUGAAGGUUGGGUAACACUAACUGGAGGACCGAACCGACUAAUGUUGAAAAAUUAGCGGAUGACCUGUGGCUGGGGGUGAAAGGCCAAUCAAACCGGGAGAUAGCUGGUUCUCCCCGAAAGCUAUUUAGGUAGCGCCUCGUGAACUCAUCUCCGGGGGUAGAGCACUGUUUCGGCUAGGGGGCCAUCCCGGCUUACCAACCCGAUGCAAACUGCGAAUACCGGAGAAUGUUAUCACGGGAGACACACGGCGGGUGCUAACGUCCGUCGUGAAGAGGGAAACAACCCAGACCGCCAGCUAAGGUCCCAAAGUCAUGGUUAAGUGGGAAACGAUGUGGGAAGGCCCAGACAGCCAGGAUGUUGGCUUAGAAGCAGCCAUCAUUUAAAGAAAGCGUAAUAGCUCACUGGUCGAGUCGGCCUGCGCGGAAGAUGUAACGGGGCUAAACCAUGCACCGAAGCUGCGGCAGCGACACUCAGGUGUUGUUGGGUAGGGGAGCGUUCUGUAAGCCUGCGAAGGUGGCCUGUGAGGGUUGCUGGAGGUAUCAGAAGUGCGAAUGCUGACAUAAGUAACGAUAAAGCGGGUGAAAAGCCCGCUCGCCGGAAGACCAAGGGUUCCUGUCCAACGUUAAUCGGGGCAGGGUGAGUCGACCCCUAAGGCGAGGCCGAAAGGCGUAGUCGAUGGGAAACGGGUUAAUAUUCCCGUACUUGGUGUUACUGCGAAGGGGGGACGGAGAAGGCUAUGUUGGCCGGGCGACGGUUGUCCCGGUUUAAGCGUGUAGGUGUGUGUUCCAGGUAAAUCCGGUUCACUUUAACACUGAGGCGUGAUGACGAGGCACUACGGUGCUGAAGCAACAAAUGCCCUGCUUCCAGGAAAAGCCUCUAAGCAUCAGGUAACAUCAAAUCGUACCCCAAACCGACACAGGUGGUCAGGUAGAGAAUACCAAGGCGCUUGAGAGAACUCGGGUGAAGGAACUAGGCAAAAUGGUGCCGUAACUUCGGGAGAAGGCACGCUGACACGUAGGUGAAGUGAUUUACUCAUGGAGCUGAAGUCAGUCGAAGAUACCAGCUGGCUGCAACUGUUUAUUAAAAACACAGCACUGUGCAAACACGAAAGUGGACGUAUACGGUGUGACGCCUGCCCGGUGCCGGAAGGUUAAUUGAUGGGGUCAGCGCAAGCGAAGCUCCUGAUCGAAGCCCCGGUAAACGGCGGCCGUAACUAUAACGGUCCUAAGGUAGCGAAAUUCCUUGUCGGGUAAGUUCCGACCUGCACGAAUGGCGUAAUGAUGGCCAGGCUGUCUCCACCCGAGACUCAGUGAAAUUGAACUCGCUGUGAAGAUGCAGUGUACCCGCGGCAAGACGGAAAGACCCCGUGAACCUUUACUAUAGCUUGACACUGAACAUUGAGCCUUGAUGUGUAGGAUAGGUGGGAGGCUUUGAAGUGUGGACGCCAGUCUGCAUGGAGCCGGCCUUGAAAUACCACCCUUUAAUGUUUGAUGUUCUAACGUGGACCCGUGAUCCGGGUUGCGGACAGUGUCUGGUGGGUAGUUUGACUGGGGCGGUCUCCUCCUAAAGAGUAACGGAGGAGCACGAAGGUUGGCUAAUCCUGGUCGGACAUCAGGAGGUUAGUGCAAUGGCAUAAGCCAGCUUGACUGCGAGCGUGACGGCGCGAGCAGGUGCGAAAGCAGGUCAUAGUGAUCCGGUGGUUCUGAAUGGAAGGGCCAUCGCUCAACGGAUAAAAGGUACUCCGGGGAUAACAGGCUGAUACCGCCCAAGAGUUCAUAUCGACGGCGGUGUUUGGCACCUCGAUGUCGGCUCAUCACAUCCUGGGGCUGAAGUAGGUCCCAAGGGUAUGGCUGUUCGCCAUUUAAAGUGGUACGCGAGCUGGGUUUAGAACGUCGUGAGACAGUUCGGUCCCUAUCUGCCGUGGGCGCUGGAGAACUGAGGGGGGCUGCUCCUAGUACGAGAGGACCGGAGUGGACGCAUCACUGGUGUUCGGGUUGUCAUGCCAAUGGCACUGCCCGGUAGCUAAAUGCGGAAGAGAUAAGUGCUGAAAGCAUCUAAGCACGAAACUUGCCCCGAGAUGAGUUCUCCCUGAGACUUUAGGUCUCCUGAAGGAACGUUGAAGACGACGACGUUGAUAGGCCGGGUGUGUAAGCGCAGCGAUGCGUUGAGCUAACCGGUACUAAUGAACCGUGAGGCUUAACCUUACA